AUGAUAGGUUUUGAUGAGGCUAAGCAACAUGGUUCCGUGAGUCGACUAGCAGAAAAUAUGGAGGCUAAGAUCAUUGACCCUGUUACUGGAGAAACAUUAUCUCCUGGCCAAAGAGGGGAGCUUUGGAUUAGAGGAUCAACGAUCAUCUCAUAUAAUUAUUUAAGUCAAACUUGCUUACUUAUUGUCUUUGAUUACAUGUUAAUCAUCCUAAGGCUGCAUCUCCGGAAGAAAGGAAACAAAUUUUCCUAA